GACGAACGCUGGCGGCGUGCUUAACACAUGCAAGUCGAACGGUGAAGCGCCUUCCUUUUUGGUGGGUGUGGAUGAGUGGCGAACGGGUGAGUAACACGUGAGUAACCUGCCCCCUUCUUCUGGAUAACCGCAUGAAAGUGUGGCUAAUACGGGAUAUUCUGGGUCUGUCGCAUGAUGGGUCUGGGAAAGAUAUUGUUUCGGUGGGGGAUGGGCUCGCGGCCUAUCAGCUUGUUGGUGGGGUGAUGGCCUACCAAGGCGGUGACGGGUAGCCGGCCUGAGAGGGUGGACGGUUACACUGGGACUGAGACACGGCCCAGACUCCUACGGGAGGCAGCAGUGGGGAAUAUUGCACAAUGGGCGCAAGCCUGAUGCAGCGACGCCGCGUGAGGGAUGGAGGCCUUCGGGUUGUGAACCUCUUUCGCCAGUGAAGCAGGCCCGCCUCGUGUGUGGGUGGGUUGACGGUAGCUGGAUAAGAAGCGCCGGCUAACUACGUG
rnacentral:rRNA from 1 species